AGAGUUUGAUCCUGGCUCAGGAUGAAUGCUGGCGGCGUGCCUUAGGCAUGCAAGUCGAACGAGCUAGUUUACUAGCGAGUGGCGGACGGGUGAGUAAUGUAUAGGAAUCUACCCUUUGAUGGGGAAUACCUCAGAGAAAUUUGGGUUAAUACCGCAUAAUCUCUGCGGAGCAAAGGCCGUAACUGGUCGUCGAAGGAGGAGCCUAUAUCCUAUCAGCUUGUUGGUGAGGUAAAAGCUUACCAAGGCUAUGACGGGUAGGGGGUGUGAGAGCAUGACCCCCCACAAGGACACUGAUACACGGGUCCUACACCUACGGGUGGCAGCAACCAGGAAUAUUGCGCAAUGGGCGAAAGCCUGACGCAGCGACGCCGCGUGCGGGAUGAAGACCUUCGGGUUGUAAACCGCUGUGGGGGGGGAAGAUAAUGACGGUACCCCUCUAGAAAGCACCUGCUAACUACGUGCCAGAAGCCUCGGUGAUACGUAGGGUGCAAGCAUUAUCCGGAUUUACUGGGCGUAAA
rnacentral:rRNA from 1 species